ACGAAAAAUAACGAUACGGGACUCAUCCGAGGCCCCGUAAUCGGAAUGAGUACACUCUAAACCCUUUAACGAGGAUCAAUUGGAGGGCAAGUCUGGUGCCAGCAGCCGCGGUAAUUCCAGCUCCAAUAGCGUAUAUUAAAGUUGUUGCGGUUAAAAAGCUCGUAGUCGAAUUUGUGUCCCGCGCCGCCGGUUCAUCGCUCGCGGUGUCAACUGGCGUGUCCGCGGGACGUCCUGCCGGUGGGCUUAGCCCCCCGUGGGCGGCCCAAUCUCAAUCCCACCGCGGUGCUCUUCACUGAGUGUCGAGGUGGGCCGGCACGUUUACUUUGAACAAAUUAGAGUGCUUAAAGCAGGCUAAAACAUCGCCUGAAUACUGUGUGCAUGGAAUAAUGGAAUAGGACCUCGGUUCUAUUUUGUUGGUUUUCGGAACCCCGAGGUAAUGAUUAAUAGGAACGGAUGGGGGCAUUCGUAUUGCGACGUUAGAGGUGAAAUUCUUGGAUCGUCGCAAGACGGACAGAAGCGAAAGCAUUUGCCAAAAACGCUUUCAUUGAUCAAGAACGAAAGUUAGAGGUUCGAAGGCGAUCAGAUACCGCCCUAGUUCUAACCAUAAACGAUGCCAGCUAGCGAUCCGCCGACGUUCCUCCGAUGACUCGGCGGGCAGCUUCCGGGAAACCAAAGCUUUUGGGUUCCGGGGGAAGUAUGGUUGCAAAGCUGAAACUUAAAGGAAUUGACGGAAGGGCACCACCAGGAGUGGAGCCUGCGGCUUAACUUGACUCAACACGGGAAACCUCACCAGGCCCGGACACCGGAAGGAUUGACAGAUUGAGAGC
rnacentral:rRNA from 1 species